rnacentral:lncRNA from 1 species
AAGAACCAGAACUACUGAUCAGAUGUGCAGUAAAGUAUAAUGUUAAAGGAACAAAGCCCACUACAAGAUUCUUUCUCUAAAAGCUGAAUAGAAGUUCAUAACUUUCUCAUAAAAAGAAUACUAUCAGGAAAACAUAAAGCAUUUCUUCGAUAAGACCAAUGCUGUCAAAAUGCCCCUGCAAAACACAAGGGCAACCUGAGUGUAUCACAUAGGUAUGUGGCAGCCACCUGAGUGUGUAUCAGAUAGAACUUGUGUACCAAGAUUUGUAAAAUGAGAACAUGGAUGAGUUUCACAGUUUGCAGGAUUGGUAUGAGGUUCAGGAAUUGAUACAAUUAAAAUCACAAGGGUUGCAUCAGUAAUUGGGACUAGUUCUUAAAAUAAUUUACAAUUUAAAAAGAAAAGGGCAAAACAUUGUAAAAGAUUCUUUUACCUUCAUAUUUCAUAAAAUUUCUAGCUUCAAAAGAAAAUAUUUGUAAUUAAAAGAUAAAUGAUGAUAAAAAUUUGUAUCAAAUAUAAGAAUGAAAAAUAAUGAGGAUUAAUAUAUUAAAAAUGCUUAUGACCAAUAUUUUUCCCCACAAAUCUAUCCUAAUUUUUUUCUCUUGCUGAUGGUAUUAUAAGAGAAAAUAAGACAUUUAUCCACACUUGAAAAAUCUAUCAAGUUGCACAUCUAAGACAUUAACGAGCCAAAAGGAUAGACAAAUUAAAGAGCCAGGAAAGAUCAUGAUGUACGAUCAAUCGUAAGAAACAAUCAUGAACAAGCCAAAGUCAGUCCAACCUGCAGAUCAAUUGCUCAAUGAAAGGAAACAAGUAAUUCAAACAAAUUUCAUAGCACCAAAGCAUAAAGUCAGUGAUCCAUGAUAAUUACUUAAACUUUAACCAUAACAUUUGUCAAAUGCCAUAUCAAAGGAUCGAUUUAACAAGGUGUCAGUUGGCAUGAACUGGUCAACAGAUAUCAAGAAGUCAGUGUCUCUUGCCCACCUUCCUGUAUCUUCACCCAUUUCUAUUACUCUCCUUCCACUUUCUAUCAACUACAAAUGAAUGACAUCAUUAUAUAGGGUGAAAAUGACUGUUCUGAGCAAUUUCAAGGCCUUGCAAUUAUUUCAUGUUAUUACUUUGUUCAAUCUUGACUAAUAUUAUUAGUUGAUGCAACUUGAUCAACAUAACUAGUAUAUCGAAUUGUGCUUGACAUUAUUAGUUUCUUAACCUUAAUCAACACCAUCAGUUCUAAACUGUCAAAUAGAAAACUACUUUUGAUCAACAUUAUUAGUUUAUUAAAUUUAAGGUUGUAUUAACAGCUACAUCCAUGUGAUGAGUUGUCAGUUAUCGAGAGACAAAUCAGGGUUUGCAGCACCAUUCAAUAUGAUUCAAUACUAGCGGUAUUAUCGG